rnacentral:rRNA from 1 species
CCUACGGGUGGCAGCAGUGAGGAAUAUUGGUCAAUGGGCGUAAGCCUGAACCAGCCAAGUCGCGUGAGGGAUGAAGGUUCUAUGGAUCGUAAACUUCUUUUAUAAGGGAAUAAAGUGCGGGACGUGUCCUGUUUUGUAUGUACCUUAUGAAUAAGGAUCGGCUAACUCCGUGCCAGCAGCCGCGGUAAUACGGAGGAUCCGAGCGUUAUCCGGAUUUAUUGGGUUUAAAGGGUGCGUAGGCGGCCUGUUAAGUCAGUGGUGAAAGUUUGCGGCUCAACCAUAGAAUUGCCGUUGAUACUGGGAGGCUUGAGUACGUUAGAGGUAGGCGGAAUGCGUGGUGUAGCGGUGAAAUGCUUAGAUAUCACGCAGAACUCCGAUUGCGAAGGCAGCCUGC